rnacentral:rRNA from 1 species
AACGAACGCUGGCGGCAUGCCUAACACAUGCAAGUCGAACGAGACCUUCGGGUCUAGUGGCGCACGGGUGCGUAACGCGUGGGAACCUGCCCUUAGGUUCGGAAUAACUCCCCGAAAGGGGUGCUAAUACCGGAUAAUGUCUUCGGACCAAAGAUUUAUCGCCUUUGGAUGGGCCCGCGUUGGAUUAGCUAGUUGGUAGGGUAAAAGCCUACCAAGGCGACGAUCCAUAGCUGGUCUGAGAGGAUGAUCAGCCACACUGGGACUGAGACACGGCCCAGACUCCUACGGGAGGGAGGAGUGGGGAAUAUUGGAAAAUGGGCGAAAGCAUGAUACAGCAAUGCCGGGUGAGUGAUGAAGGCCUUAGGGUUGUAAAGCUCUUUUACCCGGGAUGAUAAUGACAGUACCGGGAGAAUAAGCGCCGGCUAACUACGUG